rnacentral:rRNA from 1 species
GACGGAGGAUGCAAGCGUUAUCCGGAAUGAUUGGGCGUAAAGCGUCCGCAGGUGGCAGUUCAAGUCUGCUGUCAAAGACCGGGGCUUAACUUCGGAAAGGCAGUGGAAACUGAACAGCUAGAGUAUGGUAGGGGCAGAGGGAAUUCCUGGUGUAGCGGUGAAAUGCGUAGAGAUCGGCAGGAACACCCAGGGGGAAACCAGCCGCCUGGGCAUGCGCUGACGCUGAGGUGCGAGAGCGUGGGGAGCGAACCGG